UACCGCAGAGUUCGAUUCUGCAAUUAGCAAUUUGUUUCAGAUCCUGACGAAUGUCUCCAGAGAAUUUUUAUUCAGAUCCUCUUCAAGUUCUAGCGAUUUAGAUGAAAAUGAUUAUGAUUUUGCAAAAUGCAUGUGUGAAAGAAAGUAUGGCCUCUUCAGGCUCAACUAACUUGCAAUGCAUCUCUUCUGAUGGUGGUGUGAUGGCUGUUCACCUUCAGCAGAUGCUUGGCUUCUUCCAAUACUUCAAGUUAGGCCUUCACUUCGAGGCACUUUCUCUUUUGGCUGUCAUUGAUGCGGGAUUUACUUCGAAAGCCCAAGGCUGCGACUUAUCUUAGUGGUGAGGGAUCAUCAACUGGCGGUGUGGUUAGUUCAAGCCAGGUUGAUAGUGAAAAGAAAAAAAGACUUUUAAGUCUUAUUAAUGAUGAUAUCUCUGGCAGUCUACUGGAUGUAUCUUUCCAGCGGAUGUCCAAGAAAGAAAAUGUUCCUCCUGGUGUUACUGUUUCGAUUGGGCCCCUGGAACUCUGGAGUGAUGAAUUUGAAGGGAAGGGAGGAUUUGGCCCGUACCGAUCAAAGCUGCUAGAAUUGAUCAAGCAUACUGCUUCUCACAAUCUACUAUAUAUGGAGGCUUCUUUGAUGAUCUAGUUCAUAUUUAAGCUCAUGAUAGAAACAUUCCCAGGAUGUAGCAGUGGUGGACAGCCAGCAAUUAG